rnacentral:other from 1 species
CUCACCCUGCGGUGUUCGAGAUUGCCAUAUAUUCCUUGAACCAUUUACACGCAUAGGUUGCGGGAUAUUGUUUGGCGGGUGUGAGCGUCGCUAGUCCGAUGAACCCGAAGUUGAACUGACUGUGACCGCCUUGAACCGUAAGGUUCAGGAUGCCGGUAAAACGGCACAGGCGGGGCCUUA